ACCCAGACUCCUACGGGAGGCAGCAGUGGGGGAUAUUGCACAAUGGGGGGAACCCUGAUGCAGCGACGCCGCGUGGGUGAAGAAGUAUUUCGGUAUGUAAAGCCCUAUCGGCAGGGAAGAAAUUGGACGGUACCUGACUAAGAAGCCCCGGCUAACUACGUGCCAGCAGCCGCGGUAAUACGUAGGGGGCAAGCGUUAUCCGGAUUCACUGGGUGUAAAGGGAGCGUAGACGGCCAUGCAAGCCUGGAGGGAAAGGCCGGGGCCCAACCCCGGGACUGCUCUGGGAACUGUGCGGCUGGAGUGCGGGAGGGGCAGGCGGAAUUCCUGGUGUAGCGGUGAAAUGCGUAGAUAUCAGGAGGAACACCGGCGGCGAAGGCGGCCUGCUGGACCGCGACUGACGUUGAGGCUCGAAAGCGUGGGGAGCAAACAGGAUUAGAUACCCCGGUAAC
rnacentral:rRNA from 1 species